UACGUAGGUGGCAAGCGUUGUCCGGAUUUAUUGGGUUUAAAGGGUGCGUAGGCGGUCAAUUAAGUCAGUGGUGAAAUACGGCAGCUUAACUGUCGAGGUGCCAUUGAUACUGGUUGACUUGAGUACUGAUGAGGUAGGCGGAAUGGACGGUGUAGCGGUGAAAUGCUUAGAGAUCGUCCAGAACACCGAUAGCGAAGGCAGCUUACUAAGGAGUAACUGACGCUGAGGCACGAAAGUGUGGGGAUCAAACAGG
rnacentral:rRNA from 1 species